UAGGGAAUCUUCCACAAUGGACGCAAGUCUGAUGGAGCAACGCCGCGUGAGUGAAGAAGGUUUUCGGGUCGUAAAGCUCUGUUGUUGGUGAAGAAGGAUAGAGGCAGUAACUGGUCUUUAUUUGACGGUAAUCAACCAGAAAGUCACGGCUAACUACGUGCCAGCAGCCGCGGUAAUACGUAGGUGGCAAGCGUUGUCCGGAUUUAUUGGGCGUAAAGCGAGCGCAGGCGGAAUGAUAAGUCUGAUGUGAAAGCCCACGGCUCAACCGUGGAACUGCAUCGGAAACUGUCAUUCUUGAGGGCAGAAGAGGAGAGUGGAAUUCCAGGUGUAGCGGUGGAAUUCCUAAAAAUAUGGAAGAAAACCAGUGGCGAAGGCUGCUCCCUUGUCUGCAAAUGACGCUGAGGCUCGAAAGCAUGGGUAGCGAACAGG
rnacentral:rRNA from 1 species